rnacentral:rRNA from 1 species
GCACGGAGUUAGCCGGUGCUUCCUUUGGAGGUACCGUCACUCGCCUUGCGGCGCAUUCGUCCCUCCCGACAGUGGUUUACAACCCGAAGGCCGUCAUCCCACACGCGGCGUCGCUGCGUCAGGCUUUCGCCCAUUGCGCAAUAUUCCCCACUGCUGCCUCCCGUAGGAGUCUGGGCCGUGUCUCAGUCCCAAUGUGGCUGGCCAUCCUCUCAGACCAGCUACCCGUCGUCGCCUUGGUGAGCCGUUACCCCACCAACUAGCUGAUAGGCCGCGAGGCACUCUUUCGGUGCAUUGCUGCUUUCACCAACCGGGGAUGUCCCCGAGAGGUCGUACGCGGUAUUACCCGGCCGUUGGGCCGGCUAUCCCCCGCCGAAAGUCAUGUUCCUCACGUGUUACGCACCCGUCCGCCACUGAACCAGAGUUGCCCCUGAUCCCGUUCGACUUGCAUGUGUUAGGCACGCCGCCAGCGUUCGUC